GACGAACGCUGGCGGCGUGCUUAACACAUGCAAGUCGAACGGAAAGGCCCUGCUUUUGUGGGGUGCUCGAGUGGCGAACGGGUGAGUAACACGUGAGUAACCUGCCCUUGACUUUGGGAUAACUUCAGGAAACUGGGGCUAAUACCGGAUAGGAGCUCCUGCUGCAUGGUGGGGGUUGGAAAGUUUCGGCGGUUGGGGAUGGACUCGCGGCUUAUCGGCUUGUUGGUGGGGUAGUGGCUUACCAAGGCUUUGACGGGUAGCCGGCCUGAGAGGGUGACCGGCCACAUUGGGACUGAGAUACGGCCCAGACUCCUACGGGAGGCAGCAGUGGGGAAUAUUGCACAAUGGGCGGAAGCCUGAUGCAGCAACGCCGCGUGUGGGAUGACGGCCUUCGGGUUGUAAACCGCUUUCGCCUGUGACGAAACGUGAGUGACGGUAAUGGGUAAAGAAGCACCGGCUAACUACGUG
rnacentral:rRNA from 1 species